rnacentral:rRNA from 1 species
GACGAACGCUGGCGGCGUGCUUAACACAUGCAAGUCGAACGGAAGGGCCCUGCUUGUGUGGGGUGCUCGAGUGGCGAACGGGUGAGUAACACGUGAGUAACCUGACCUUGACUGUGGGAUAACGUCAGGAAACUGGUGCUAAUACCGGAUAGCAGCUCCUGCUGCAUGGUGGGGGUUGGAAAGUUUCGGCGGGUGGGGAUGGACUCGCGGCUUAUCAGCUUGUUGGUGGGGUAGUGGCUUACCAAGGCAUUGACGGGUAGCCUGCCUGAGAGGGUGACCGGACCCAUUGGGACUGAGAUACGGACCAGAGUCCUACGGGAGGCAGUAGUGGGGAAUAUUGCACAAUGGGCGGAAGCCUGAUGCAGCAACGCCGCGUGCGGGAUGCCGGCCUUCGGGUUGUAAACCGCUUUCGCCUGUGACGCAGCGUGAGUGACGGUAAUGGGUAAAGAAGCACCGGCUAACUACGUG